CCUUCUAAGUGGCUCCCUUUCUCUGGUUGGAGAAUCGUAUAUUCGUAAUAGACUUUUUGAUUCGAAGAUGAUCCAGCGACUAGGGCACCUUUAGCUAAUCUUUGGAAAUCUUGAACAAGAAGCGGAUGUUGCGGAUCGGAUCAACUCAUCAGAGAAUUUUGUAUCUCUUGUGCAUUUAUUUUCAAAUCUGAGAUCUGAUUCCCAGAAUCAAAGCGAAUUCGUCUUGGAUAGGGUAUGUGAACUGUGAAGACUUUUUUCUGAAACAAAAACCUUUCAAUUAAAAUUCAUUUCAAGGAUCAGAUUGGAUUUUGCGAAUCGAAUUAACAAGGAUAAGAGAUGGUGUUAUGGCACGAUUAUGCUAUGGGAAAAGAUUGAUUGAAUGAAAUGUGAAUUGUGAUAUUCUAUAAUUAAAAAAAGCCAAUGACGAAGAAGACGGCAAAGCAAGUGUGAGAAAGACAGAGAAAGAGAAAGAAGGAAGAGGCGAGGGUGAUGGGCGUGGACUAAUGGAAAUCCACUCACAGAGGCACAAAAGCAAACACGUUCCGUCCAACUUUCUGGCUUUUGGAGUUUGGAGUUUGGACUCUUACGUCACUUCCAGUUCUCCACUUCUGUACCUCUCCCUUUCCUUGGCCCCUUGGAAUAAAAAGCUAAGUAAUUUUGGUCU